GUUUAGCGUCGCGAUUCGCCCUUCCUACGGGAGGCAGCAGUGAGGAAUAUUGGUCAAUGGAGGCAACUCUGAACCAGCCAUGCCGCGUGCAGGAAGAAUGUCCUAUGGAUUGUAAACUGCUUUUGUACGGGAAGAAAAAGUGUUACGUGUAACAUAUUGACGGUACCGUAAGAAUAAGGAUCGGCUAACUCCGUGCCAGCAGCCGCGGUAAUACGGAGGAUCCAAGCGUUAUCCGGAAUCAUUGGGUUUAAAGGGUCCGUAGGCGGCCUUAUAAGUCAGUGGUGAAAGUUUUCGGCUUAACCGAAAAAUUGCCAUUGAUACUGUAGGGCUUGAAUGAUUGUGAAGUAACUAGAAUAUGUAGUGUAGCGGUGAAAUGCAUAGAUAUUACAUGGAAUACCAAUUGCGCAGGCAGGUUACUAACAAUUUAUUGACGCUGAUGGACGAAAGCGUGGGUAGCGAACAGGAUUAGAUACCCUGGUAGUCCACGCCGUAAACGAUGGAUACUAGUUGUUCGGUUUUCGGACUGAGUGACUAAGCGAAAGUGAUAAGUAUCCCACCCGGGGAGUACGGUCGCAAGACUGAAACUCAAAGGAAUUGACGGGGGCCCGCACAAGCGGUGGAGCAUGUGGUUUAAUUCGAUGAUACGCGAGGAACCUUACCAGGGCUUAAAUGUAUAUUGACCGAUUUGGAAACAGAUCUUUCGCAAGACAAUUUACAAGGUGCUGCAUGGUUGUCGUCAGCUCGUGCCGUGAGGUGUCAGGUUAAGUCCUAUAACGAGCGCAACCCCUGUUGUUAGUUGCCAGCGAGUCAUGUCGGGAACUCUAACAAGACUGCCAGUGCAAACUGUGAGGAAGGUGGGGAUGACGUCAAAUCAUCACGGCCCUUACGUCCUGGGCCACACACGUGCUACAAUGGCCGGUACAAUGGGCAGCCACUGCGCAAGCAGGAGCGAAUCCACAAAACCGGUCUCAGUUCGGAUCGGGGUCUGCAACUCGACCCCGUGAAGCUGGAAUCGCUAGUAAUCGGGAUAUCAGCCAUGAUCCGGUGAUACGUUCCCGGGCCUUGUACACCCCCACCCGUCAGCAUGGAGCUGGAAGCACCUGAAGUCGUCACCGCAGGAGCGGCCUAGGUGAAAGCUGUACUGGGCUAGUCGUACAAGGUACCAGGCAUCCGUCAACUGCAGAACAUAGUCUUUUUAUGUG
rnacentral:rRNA from 1 species